GGGAUUUAGAUAGCACAGAAGCCUCGGUGGAAGAUUACUAAUGAGAGUGGCGAACGGGUGAGUAACGCGUGAGCAACCUGCCUAUGACAGUGGGAUAGCCUCGGGAAACCGGGAUUAAUACCGCAUAAAAUCGUAGAAACACAUGUUUUAACGGUCAAAGAUUUAUCGGUCAUAGAUGGGCUCGCGUCUGAUUAGCUAGUUGGUGAGAUAACAGCCCACCAAGGCGACGAUCAGUAGCCGGUCUGAGAGGAUGAACGGCCACAUUGGAACUGAGACACGGUCCAAACUCCUACGGGAGGCAGCAGUGGGGAAUAUUGCACAAUGGGGGGAACCCUGAUGCAGCGACGCCGCGUGAACGAAGAAGGUAUUCGUAUCGUAAAGUUCUGUCCUAUGGGAAGAUAAUGACAGUACCAUAGAAGAAAG
rnacentral:rRNA from 1 species